CAAACUAGAUGAGAGGGAAAAACUGAAAAAACACAAUAUAUCUCCUACAGCAAGUAAAGGAAUGGAUCCAAAGAAAAAAGGCUGUGUAGACUUAAGUUCAAUGCAUUGAUUUACAAACAAAGUCAACCACUGAGUUUUGAAACCUUUAUCAAGGCCAAUGUUUGGGUCCAAAAUACAGCACACUUCCUGAACAUAAUGAAAG
rnacentral:misc_RNA from 1 species